rnacentral:rRNA from 1 species
ACCUGCCCAUUGGAAUCUAAAAGGCCGCGGUAUUAUGACCGUGCUAAGGUAGCAUAAUCAUUAGUCUUUUAAUUGGAGGCUGGUAUGAAUGGUUGGACAAGAAAUAAGCUGUCUUAAAUAAAAAUAUUGAAUUUAACUUUUAAGUGAAAAGGCUUAAAUUUUCUAAGGGGACGAUAAGACCCUAUAAAACUUUAUAUUUUAAAAUAAUAAUUAAUUUUUAUAUAGAAGAUUUAUUUUUAAAUAUUUUAUUGGGGUGAUAAAGAUAAAAUGUGAGAUAACUGUCUUUUUUUUUUUACAAUUAAUAUUUGAGUAAAAGAUCCUAACAAAGGAAAUAAGAGAUUAAGUUACUUUAGGGAUAACAGCGUAAUUUUCUUUAAGAGUUCUUAUCAACAAGAAAGUUUGCGACCUCGAUGUUGAAUUAAAAGUUCUUUAUAGAGUAAAUAUUAUAAUAGAGGGUCUGUUCGACCCUUAAAAUUUUACGUG